ACUAUAUAUGCACUUAUGCAAAUUUAUAUUCAAUUCAAGUGCACCUAAUUGAACUUGAUCACAUAACCAAAUAGAUGUGGACAGUAGAAAUACACUAUAUGGUCAACAGUUUCUGGAGACCUGACCAUCAAACCUACAUGUGUUCCUUACCCAAACUGUUGCCACAAAGCUGGAAGCACACAAUUGUAUAGGAUGUCUUUGUAUACUGUAGCAUUACAGCAUUUCCCUUCCCUGGAACUAAGAGAACAAUGCCCCUGUGCACAAAGCGAGUUCCAUGAAGACAUGGAUUGCCAAGAUUGGAGUAAGAACUGUAGUGGCCUGCACUGACCUGAAUUGACCUCAACCUCACUCAACACCUCUGGAAUGAAGAGGAAUGGGUGCCUAGUUUUAAAGAACAGUAGACUCACAGUGAAGCAUUGCGGUGGUAGCAUCAUGUACACAAGGGGCUGCUUAAUUGUACACGAAGACAUCAAUCGGG
ensembl:lncRNA